rnacentral:rRNA from 1 species
UACGUAGGGGGCAAGCGUUGUCCGGAAUUACUGGGCGUAAAGCGCACGUAGGUGGCGACGUAAGUCGGGUGUGAAAGCCCCGGGCUCAACCUGGGAAUUGCAUUCGAGACUGUGUCGCUGGAGUACGGAAGAGGAAGGCGGAAUUCCCGGUGUAGCGGUGAAAUGCGUAGAUAUCGGGAGGAACAUCAGUGGCGAAGGCGGCCUUCUGGUCCAGUACUGACACUCAAGUGCGAAAGCGUGGGGAGCAAACAGG